rnacentral:rRNA from 1 species
AUGAACGCUGGCGGCGUGCUUAACACAUGCAAGUCGAACGGGAAUGCUUCGCUGAUGCGAUUUCGGUCAAAUCUUGAAGCAUUCUAGUGGCGGACGGGUGAGUAACGCGUGGGUAACCUGCCCUGUACAGGGGGACAACAGUUGGAAACGACUGCUAAUACCGCAUAAGCGCACAGCUUCGCAUGAAGUAGUGUGAAAAACUCCGGUGGUACAGGAUGGACCCGCGUCUGAUUAGAUAGUUGGUGAGGUAACGGCCCACCAAGUCAACGAUCAGUAGCCGGCCUGAGAGGGCGAACGGCCACAUUGGGACUGAGACACGGCCCAAACUCCUACGGGAGGCAGCAGUGGGGAAUAUUGCACAAUGGGGGAAACCCUGAUGCAGCGACGCCGCGUGAGUGAAGAAGUAUUUCGGUAUGUAAAGCUCUAUCAGCAGGGAAGAAAACAAUGACGGUACCUGACUAAGAAGCCCCGGCUAACUACGUGCCAGCAGCCGCGGUAAUACGUAGGGGGCAAGCGUUAUCCGGAUUUACUGGGUGUAAAGGGAGCGUAGACGGUAGACCAAGUCUGAAGUGAAAGCCCGGGGCUCAACCCCGGAACUGCUUUGGAAACUGGUAAACUAGAGUGCAGGAGAGGUAAGUGGAAUUCCUAGUGUAGCGGUGAAAUGCGUAGAUAUUAGGAGGAACACCAGUGGCGAAGGCGGCUUACUGGACUGUAACUGACGUUGAGGCUCGAAAGCGUGGGGAGCAAACAGGAUUAGAUACCCUGGUAGUCCACGCCGUAAACGAUGAUUACUAGGUGUCGGGGAGUUAAACUCUUCGGUGCCGCAGCAAACGCAAUAAGUAAUCCACCUGGGGAGUACGUUCGCAAGAAUGAAACUCAAAGGAAUUGACGGGGGCCCGCACAAGCGGAGGAACAUGUGGUUUAAUUCGAUGAUACGCGAGGAACCUUACCCGGGCUUGAAUUGCAGAGGAAGGAUUUGGAGACAAUGACGCCCUUCGGGGUCUCUGUGAAGGUGCUGCAUGGUUGUCGUCAGCUCGUGUCGUGAGAUGUUGGGUUAAGUCCCGCAACGAGCGCAACCCCUAUCCUUAGUAGCCAGCAGUAAGAUGGGCACUCUAGGGAGACUGCCGGGGAUAACCCGGAGGAAGGUGGGGAUGACGUCAAAUCAUCAUGCCCCUUAUGAUUUGGGCUACACACGUGCUACAAUGGCGUAAACAAAGGGAAGCGAGCCCGCGAGGGGGAGCAAAUCCCAAAAAUAACGUCUCAGUUCGGAUUGUAGUCUGCAACUCGACUACAUGAAGCUGGAAUCGCUAGUAAUCGCAGAUCAGAAUGCUGCGGUGAAUACGUUCCCGGGUCUUGUACACACCGCCCGUCACACCAUGGGAGUCGGAAAUGCCCGAAGCCGGUGACCUAACCGUAAGGAAGGAGCCGUCGAAGGCAGGUCUGAUAACUGGGGUG